CUAAGGCCCACUUGACUUCACAUUCCAGGAUGUCUGGCUCUAGGUGAGUGAUCACACCAUCGUGAUCUUGGUCAUGAAGAUCUUUUUUGUAUAGUUGUUCUGUGUAUACUUGCCACCUCUUCUUAAUAUCCUCUGCUUCUGUCAGGUCCCUACCAUUUCUGUCCUUUAUUGUACCCAUCUUUGCAUGAAAUGUUCCCUUGGUAUCUCUAAUUUUCUUGAAGAGAUCUCUAGUCUUUCCCAUUCUGUUUUCCUCUAUUUCUUUGCAUUGAUCGCUGAAGAAGGCUUUCUUAUCUCUUCUUGCUAUUCUUUGGAACUCUGCAUUCAGAUGCUUAUAUCUUUCCUUUUCUCCUUUGCUUUUCACCUCUCUUCUUUUCACAGCUAUUUGUAAGGCCUCCCCAGACAGCCAUUUUGCUUUUUUGCAUUUCUUUUCCAUGGGGAUGGUCUUGAUCCCUGUCUCCUGUACAAUGUCACGAACCUCAUUCCAUAGUUCAUCAGGCACUCUCUCUAUCAGAUCUAGGCCCUUAAAUCUAUUUCUCACUUCCACUGUAUAAUCAUAAGGGAUUUGAUUUAGGUCAUACCUGAAUGGUCUAGUGGUUUUCCCUACUUUCUUCAAUUUGAGUCUGAAUUUGGUAAUAAGGAGUUCAUGAUCUGAGCCACAGUCAGCUCCUGGUCUUGUUUUUGUUGACUGUAUAGAGCUUCUCCAUCUUUGGCUGCAAAGAAUAUAAUUAAUAUGAUUUUGGUGUUGACCAUCUGGUGAUGUCCAUGUGUAGAGUCUUCCCUUGUGUUGUUGGAAGAGGGUGUUUGCUAUGACCAGUGCAUUUUCUUGGCAAAACUCUAUUAGUCUUUGCCCUGCUUCAUUCCGCAUUCCAAGGCCAAAUUUGCCUGUUACUCCAGGUGUUUCUUGACUUCCUACUUUUGCAUUCCAGUCCCCUAGAAUGAAAAGGACAUCUUUUUUGGGUGUUAGUUCUAAAAGGUCUUGUAGGUCUUCACAAAACCGUUCAGCUUCAGUUUCUUCAGCGUUACUGGUUGGGGCCUAGACUUGGAUAAAUUCAAGGGCUUUGAUGACCACCAUUUCCUUCUCUGAACAACUCUAUCAUUUCCUGUCACAAUGUUUUUUCCCUCUUUCAACUCUCACUCUUGUAAUACCAAAUCAUUGUGUACCAUAAUCAGGCAAUUUGCAGGAAAGAAGUGUGCUGUAUUUUCAGUUGUCAACUUUCUAUUUUAGUCACUCACUUUGAAGGUUUCCUCUGCACUGCACUGCAAAGAAGAGCCCAGAAAUGUUUGCCAGGUUUCCCUUCAUUCUAUGGUUCCAGAUUAGAGUUUGCCAUUGAGAGUAACGCAAAAACUAUUUGAAAGUUGGGAAGAAGAAAAGCUAUUGUUG
rnacentral:lncRNA from 1 species